rnacentral:rRNA from 1 species
UACGUAGGGGGCAAGCGUUGUCCGGAAUCAUUGGGCGUAAAGAGCGUGUAGGCGGCUCGGUAAGUCCGCUGUGAAAGUCCAGGGCUCAACCCUGGAAUGCCGGUGGAAACUGUUGAGCUAGAGUCCGGAAGAGGCGAGUGGAAUUCCGUGGUGUAGCGGUGAAAUGCGCAGAUAUCAGGAGGAACACCAAUGGCGAAGGCAGCUCGCUGGGACGGUACUGACGCUGAGACGCGAAAGCGU